rnacentral:rRNA from 1 species
GACGAACGCUGGCGGCGUGCUUUACACAUGCAAGUCGAACGGUGAAGGUGGAGCUUGCUCCGCCGGAUCAGUGGCGAACGGGUGAGUAACACGUGGGCAACCUGCCCCUAACUUUGGGAUAACUACUCGAAAGAGUAGCUAAUACCGGAUAUGAAGUCUGUAGGCAUCUACGGACUUGGAAAGUUUUUCGGUUAGGGAUGGGCCCGCGGCCUAUCAGCUUGUUGGUGAGGUAGUGGCUCACCAAGGGGACGACGGGUAGCCGGCCUGAGAGGGCGACCGGCCACACUGGGACUGAGACACGGCCCAGACUCCUACGGGAGGCAGCAGUGGGGAAUAUUGCGCAAUGGGCGAAAGCCUGACGCAGCAACGCCGCGUGCGGGAUGAAGGCCUUCGGGUUGUAAACCGCUUUCAGCAGGGAAGAAGCGAAAGUGAUGGUACCUGCAGAAGAAGCACCGGCUAACUACGUGCCAGCAGCCGCGGUAA